UACAAAAAAAUAUUUAUUCCCUUUCAAUUUGUCAAGACAUAUCUCCAUAACAUAACAGUUGCAAAAUAAAUAAAACAUCACAUAACUACAAGAUACUAUGAAUCAAUUCUAGUUUGAUUGCUUCAAACUAGUUAUACCAUUUCAUUGGAAUAAAGGUGAUUAGAAGAUUAAAAAAUAUUAAUCAACAGUACAAUAUUACCUACACAAAGAUACCAUUCUUUUUACUUUCAACACUACUAAACAUAAGUUCAAAAAAUCUUUUAUGUUAGACAUUUUGUAACUUUUGGAGACUGUACAAAAAUUCAUAAUGAAAUUAUACAUGUACAACAAAUGGCAGUCAGUAUAGAUAUGUUACUAUUCAAAAUAAUGUCCAUGUACAAUUACAUGUAUAUUAAUGCAGAUUAUAUCACAUUUGAAAAAAAUUGGUAGUUUAUAUGAAUGCAUUUGGCAGAACAAGCAGGUGUGGAUUAAGACAGGGCCACAUCUGCAAAAAAGAAACAGCCAAUGGUGUCAAAAUAAGGUCCUCUUAUUCUUAAGCGUACUCCUGACAUCAAAUCUAAGAUAUGUGCCUGAAAAUUAAUGGCUGAUAAAAUUAAUGAAUCCCUAUAAUAUAAAAUAUGCCUUGUUAAUGUAUCUAUGAAAUUGAUUAGAUGGGAGAUUCUUCCUCAUAUAAAUGGUCAACUCAAAAAGAAUUCUAACAUUUAAUAUUUGGCUAAAACAUAAGCUGACUAAGAUUGUGAGAGAUUUUGAUUCUUUGGUAUCUAAUCACAGACAAAUCAUACAGAAUUUUUGAAUAUACCUCAAUCUAGGUUUGUAUGAGAACCUAUACAAACAAAAAGUAAAGAUUUGUACUCUUGUUAUGAAUAGCAAGCAUUAUAUAAAGUUUAGUUUUUUUUCCAUUUUAAACAACAAAAACUUUCUCACAAUUUCAAGGACUACAAUUUAUAACAGUUAUUCUUAAAGUAAACAAAGAAAAAUAAUGCUAAUUCCUAACAUUUAUUUUUAAUGUAUCCUAAUUUCCUUUCUCCAUAUUCAUUGGUUCAUAUCUUUGUUUAAUUAAAAAGAUAAAUUAAUUUAGGAUUCCAUUUUUUAUCACCGAGAGUGGUUUUAACGACUUAGAUUACCAAUGAGGGCCUUGCAAUGUGGAGUUUCACAUCUUAUAUCAUUUAAUUUGAUUCUUUUAUGUAGUAAAUGAUGCUGCUGCAAAUUCAUAAAAUGUAAAGAUAUUUCAAUGAUUUCACACAGUUGUCUAUAUUAAACCACUGGAAUGAUUCAAAUAACAACAAGUAUAAAACUAAUCUCUAACCACUGUCUUCUGACCGAAUAAUAGAAACAUAUGUGACAUGCAAAGCAUUUAUGACAAGUAUUAAUUUGAUCUAUUAAACCAAUCAUUUGAUGUUUUUCAUUUUCCUAUCAUGUAUUAUGUGGUUGGUUAUUUUCUUUAUAAUUGACAGAUUAUACUGACUAAAUGCUUACAAUCAUUUUGUUAUACAAUUGUACAUUACAGGAUCUUUCAGAAUGUUGUGUUCACUGAUUCAACAUAGUAUAAUGAACAUCAAUCACAAUGCUUUUAACAGAAAGUUAAAUAAUUAAAAAUUAACAAAGACCUUAAAGUAAGCAAGCUACCAUUUGCAAAAAAAAACCAUGAACACUGUUAUUCUUUUGCAAAUUUUACAAAAUAUGAAUAUGUAUUAUAAUUAUCUAUCAAUGAAGUCAUUAUUGAAAAUGUAAUUUUUAAUGUUAAAUCAGAUUUUAAUAAAUAUUUCAUUGGCUAAAACUUAAGCCGGAGUAUUAAAAAAAUAUCAUACAAAGUGUUUAUUUCACAGCAAGAAAUACAUCAAUGUAUAGUUCUUCUUGUCAGAUUCAUUUGCACAAGGAUUUAGAAAAUUUAAAAUCAUAUUGUUUCAAACUUAUAUUAUCUGCAUUUAGCGUUUACACAAAAUCAUUAUAUACAUGUAUGGUUGAUCACAAUAAUUAUAGUAAUUCAAUUUUGACCAUUUCACAAAUUACUGUUAAAAUUAAUUAAUUCCUUUAAUUUAAACAAUUUAAUUAGAUAUGUGUGUUUCUAGUUUGACCUAUAUUACUUUAUAAUUGUAAUGAGAAUGAGAAAGAAACUAUAAACACUUCUGAGGUUAUUUCAAAGAUAAAUAUACUUGCUUAUUAAGAGAUAAAUCAUGAAAAAGAUUGUUAAGCACUUC
rnacentral:lncRNA from 1 species